GCAGAGUAGAAAUGUGUGCGUUAAGUGCCGGCUGGACGGGGAGUUGUCAGUAGGACGAAAAGUAAGAAUUACUUGCGGUACACAUUUUGCAUCCCGCUGC
rnacentral:ncRNA from 1 species